UUACUAGUAAAAGUAGAAAAUUUGUUAUCGACUGUUCCUAGAGUAAGUGGCAAAGGACUUGAUGGUUGGUACUCGAGACCCAAGUUUGAAUCCUAGUUGAUUCACAUUUCUAUCUAAGUUUAUUUCUAAAUGAAAUAAACGGAGCGGGUAGCAUGCUACCUAUCCCUUAAAAAAAAAGAAAAGAAAAGAAAAGAAAAGAAAAUUUGUUACAUAGAAAAUAGAAAAAAUUUUAAAUAUCACCCGUAUAGUUUAGCACUUUUUUAUUUUAGGGAUAACUAUCUAUAUACCCUUUAAAACUUCAAAAAUAUAUCAUUUACCUCUUUUUUUUUUUUCUUUCCAAUAUACCACCUAUAUGUUCCUCUGUUGUUCCAAAAUAUUCCUACAGUUACUAUCUAUUAAGUUAAUUUGGAUAAAACAUGAGUUAAAUAUCUACUAGAGUUAAAAAAAAAAAUCAAAAUGUCUCUUCUGUUCUUAACUUAAGGACAAAUAAGAAAUGGUAGUGAUGAUAGAAGGAUAUAUUUGAAAAAACUAAAAAUUAAAAUAAUUUUUGUGUCCAUAACUUAAGAGUGAAUAAGAAAAGUCGGUGAUGGUGGAAAGAUAUAUUUGAAAAGGUAAAAUAGUAAUUUUAUACAGAUAAUAGUUAUUGUUAACAGUUUAUUAACAAAAUUUAAUUCUAGGAGUAUAUUUGAAAUAGGUUGUAACGUAAAAAAAAUAUUUUUCAAUAUUAGCCUUAUAAAAGGAGUAAAUCGAAAAGUCAGGAACUUUUCAGAGGUGUAAAAACAAUUGCCCCUUUAUAUAUUUUAAUACCAUGGUUUAAAGUGCAUUAAUUUAGUACCGUAAUUUUAUUUUUCUCUUUUUAUUAUCUCCUUCACUAUUUUUUUUUUUUCGUUAAAUUAGUGACAAAGUUAAAACUAAAAUGUACUAAAGUAAAUAUUCGAUAAAUUUAGAUAGGAUAUUUGAAGUUUUUUUGUAUAUAAUUUAACGAAAUGUUAACGAAUGAGCUGACGAAAAGAUAAAAAUAAAAUUAUAGGAUACUAAAUUGAUAUAUUUUUAAACUAUAGGAUACUAAAGUGAGAAAGUGUAAAACCACAUAGGUAAUAUUUAAAAUUUAACCUAAAAAAUAUACCAAUCUCAACCGUUCAUCUUAUUUUUUCGGUUUUCAUCAACAUGUUAAUUAGAAUACCUCUUCCUUCUCUCCCUUAUUCACUUUAACAAUAUUCACUUUUAGCAUCUUAUAUAGGUCAAUUAUGCAUUCCGAUUUUCAUUUUAAUAAUAAACUAAAUAUUUUUGAAUCAAGUGGUGUAAGGAAGAUUCUGUCCAAUUAUGAACCUCUAAAUUACUCACUAGUUAUUAUUGUGUAAUUUUGAUCUAUUAAUAAGAGCACGCCUUCUUACUUUCGAAAAUACGGAGACCUCCAUACUUGUAAGUUAUUUUCGAUGAUAGGACAUCCGAUUCGACGAUCGGCUCCGUUAAGUAUAAUUUAUCCUAUUGGAAUUAUUUAGAAAUCAAAUUUUAUAAUUUUUGGACAUCAUUUAUCAAAUGAUUAAAAUGUCUCAAAAAAGACUAUUUUACAGGCCGAUGUCGCACGUUUUUAAGUUCAACGGUGUAGAAAUAUCUAAAUUAUAUAAAAAUUUAAUAGAAAAUUCUACUUAACAUCAAUAGCAAGAUCAAUACUUCUGAUUUGAAAAUUGAGUCUUUUAUCACUAUUUUUUAUGAAAUUUUUAUUUUCAGCCGUUCAUUUUGAGGCUAUUAUUUACUAGACAAAUAAAGUCAAAAAAUUAUAAAAUUUGAUUUCCAGAUAUUCCACUAGCGUAGAUCAUGUAUAACGAAACCGAUCGCCAAAUCAGAUGUCUCAUUAUCGAAAAUAACUUAUAAAUACGGAGCUCUCCGUAUUUUCGAAAGCAUAGGAGCCUAGCUCCUAUUAAUAAUACUCUGAGGUACAUUCACAGGUAACUAUCACUACACCUCUGCUCUCUCUCUCUCUCUCUCUCUCUCUCUCUCUCUCUCUCUCG
rnacentral:lncRNA from 1 species